CGGUGCAAUCAUGCCGCCACUAAUGCAUUGGAUUCCAUAAGAACUCUACAGUUAAGUGUGCUUGGGUGAGAGUAGUACUAGGAUGGGUGAUCCUGGGAAGGCCUCGUGUUGCUUCCC
rnacentral:rRNA from 1 species